rnacentral:rRNA from 1 species
GUGAGUAGUUCAGAGUUUGAUCCUGGCUCAGGAUGAACACUAGCUACAGGCUUAACACAUGCAAGUCGAGGGUCUGCUUCGGCAGACGACCGGCGCACGGGUGAGUAACGCGUAUCCAACCUGCCCUUCAUAUUGGGAUAGCCUCUCGAAAGGGAGAUUAAUACCGAAUAACAUGAGAUAGUUGCCUGAUUUUCUCAUGAAAGCUCCGGCGAUGAAGGAUGGGGAUGCGUUCCAUUAGGUAGUAGGCGGGGUAACGGCCCACCUAGCCGACGAUGGAUAGGGGUUCUGAGAGGAAGGUCCCCCACACUGGAACUGAGACACGGUCCAG